rnacentral:rRNA from 1 species
UACGUAGGAGGCGAGCGUUGUCCGGAGUUACUGGGCGUAAAGCGCACGCAGGCGGUCUGCUAAGUCUCAAGCGACAGUCGUCGGCUUAACUGACGAAGUGUUUGGGAAACUGACAGACUUGAGGGCUUCAGAGGGACAUGGAAUUCCGGGUGUAGUGGUGAAAUGCGUAGAUAUCCGGAGGAACACCAAAGGCGAAGGCAAUGUCCUGGGAAGUCUCUGACGCUCAGGUGCGAAAGCUAGGGGAGCGAACGGG